rnacentral:lncRNA from 1 species
AUGAGUUGGGAGGGGUCAAUCUCACCCAGCUGUGUCCUCCAGGUUUCAGGGGUGCACCAGCAGGCCAGAUCUGGAGGGCAGGGAGGCGGAGUUGCGGUGGUCUAUCGAGAUUCCAUCUCUCUGACCAGGUGCCCCGUUCCACAAUCUUCUGGGUUUGAUUGUGUCUAUCUGAGAGUUGGAAACCGGGACAGGUUGGGGAUUCUGCUUGUGUACCGACCACCCCGUGACACAGCAGUCUCGCUGCCUGAGCUCACCGAGGUGGUCUCCAGCUUGGUGUUGGAGCCUCAGCACCUUGUGGUGCUGGGAGACUUCAAUAUCCAUGCGGAGUCCAUCCUUUCUGGCGCUGCACAGGAUUUCAUGGUUGCCAUGACGGCCAUGGGCCUGUCCCAAAUGAUUUCUGGACCAACUCAUCAGGCAGGACACACGUUAGACCUAGUUUUUGUUGUGGACGGAGGAAAAAUCAGUGUGGAAGAGCAAAACAUUCUUCCAUUGUCAUGGACUGCUCAUCAUCUGGUCAGUUUUAGACUAACCACAGCUCAAACCCUCUGCAGGGGUGGUGGACCGAUUAAGAUGGUCCGCCCCAGGAGACUUAUGGAUCCAAAUGGAUUCCUGAUGUCUCUUGGGGAUUUUCCCGUCAUGGCGGCUGGUGAUCCUGUCGAAGUCUUGGUUGAUCUCUAUAACACCGAGAUGGCCAGGGCAGUAGACAUGAUCGCCCCUGAACGUCCCCUAUCAUCUCGCAGAGUCAGGUCAGCUCCUUGGUUUUCUGAGGAGCUGGCCAUGAUGAAGCGGACGAGACGGAGACUGGAGUGCAUCUGGCGCAGAUCUCAGGACGUAUCCGACCGAGCACGGGCUAAAGCCUCUCUUAGGGCCUACUCCGCGGCAUUGCGGGCAGCCAGGAAAGUUUUCUCGACUGCCCGCAUUGCGUCUGCAACAAACAGACCAGCUGAGUUGUUUCGGGUGGUGGGAGAGCUCCUCCACCCUUGUGAUGGGGGGGCUGCCCCUUACCACCUGACAACUCGAUGUGGUGAGUUUGCCCAUCACUUUGCAGACAAAGUCGCUCGGAUACGCUCUGACUUAGACACCAGCCUUAAUGCAGUAUCUGUGGAGAUGACCGAGGCACCUGCUUGUCCAGUGUUAAUGGAUUAG